CGGAGGGUGCAAGCGUUGUCCGGAUUUAUUGGGUUUAAAGGGUGCGUAGGCGGCUUUUUAAGUCAGUGGUGAAAUCCUGCAGCUUAACUGUAGAAUUGCCAUUGAUACUGAGAAGCUUGAGUACAGACGAGGUAGGCGGAAUUUAUGGUGUAGCGGUGAAAUGCAUAGAUACCAUAAAGAACACCUAUUGCGAAGGCAGCUUACUAGGCUGUAACUGACGCUGAGGCACGAAAGUGUGGGGAUCAAACAGGAUUAGAUACCCUGGUAGUCCACACUGUAAACGAUGAUUACUCGAUGUUCGCGAUAUACAGUGAGCGUCCAAGCGAAAGCGUUAAGUAAUCCACCUGGGAAGUACGAUCGCAAGAUU
rnacentral:rRNA from 1 species